rnacentral:lncRNA from 1 species
AAUAACUGUUAGGUGAGGUGGUGAGCCAGUCGGUGAGACCACACCACCCACUAGAAAUCACUAAUCACGGAGAUUUUUACAUCUCUACCUAGAGAGUGUAGGGAUUUGAGAAAAUAGUGGGAGCCUAAUUUGUUUAAAAAUGAAACUCUUAAACAAAUUGGUUAAGUCUGAUUACAAAAUCUAACUAGAAAUUUUUGACUCUCUACAGAAAAUAUGUCUGCAUCCAACUCCCUGACCAAAAUACUAGACACCCAC